GAGGAAAGCCGUUCAUGGUUCUUUAGUUCUCAUCCUGCAUGCUGUGAAAACAGCUGUAAAUUUCUAUCUGUCACAUGGGUCUAGUUCAUGGCUGGUAGAUGUACCUGAUGGGCCAUAGAAGUGACUGGCUCAGCUCCUGUUGGGCUCAGGAAAGAGAGUCUACCUGAGAGAAUCAGUUGUGUGCCCCACCCUGAAAGUACCCUCGGUGCCAUCAAAAGUACUGGUGAUGCAACAUUCCUUAAGCAAGGCUCCACCAUUUUUUUCCUGAGAUUUUCUUCUAAGUUUCUGACAUCCAUUCUGCAGGUUUUGAUGCCUGUGCUUUCUUCAUCUUACCAAAAGCUGUCAAUGGAAGAUUUCAGGCAACAGAACCUGAUGAACAGUCUUGAUUGCUGAGGUGGCUUUGCUGAACAUAGGCAUCUGGGUCGCAGGUUCACGGCAUCUUGCAGCAUCCUCUUGGGCAUAUCACCAUCUCGUAUAGUCAAAGCUGCGUCACUGCCAUAUUCAAAUUCCAACCAGCAAGAAAGAGAAGGAGAGCCUGGAGGAAGCAUACCUAACGUCAAGUCCCAGAGCUGAAAGUGGCACCCAUCAUUUCUGCUCACAGCCCAC
rnacentral:lncRNA from 1 species